rnacentral:tRNA from 1 species
UAAAUAAUAUAGGCAUGACCCUAUAACUUGCAAUUAUAUAAUAGCUAAAAUAAGCCUUGUCUAA